GUCCCCAUCGUCUAGAGGCCUAGGACACCUGGUUUUCAUCCAGGCAACAGGGGUUCGAAACCCCUUGGGGACGCCA
rnacentral:tRNA from 2 species